ensembl:lncRNA
AGAAAUCAAAAGACAAGAUUGUUGCCUCCUGAGUAAAUGUUACGCAGUAUUUCCUGAACUGUCCUCUGCCACUCCUCUCCACUUAGGGGGAACCUGGGUUGCAUGGUCUCAAGGGACUGCGAGGGGAACCUGGGCAUAAGGGUGACAGAGGACCCCUGGGUCUCCCCGGUAUGGAUGGACCACUUGGGACUCCUGGUCCAGCAGGUCCAAAGGGCGAUAGAGGUGAGAAGGGUGAUGUUGGUGAUCCUGGACCCAGAGGGCCAUAUGGGUUACCUGGAGCUGCUGGAACACCUGGAAUGGAUGUAAGUUGUCACUCAUUUACUGCUUGUGUGUUGACUCUUAUCAUUUAUUGUCUCCUGGGUUGCUUCCUGCAACUGUUCUGCCCUCUAGUAGCUGUCAGCAAUAUCUUUGAAGAUCUUUACCCCUGAACCAAUGAGUAUCCAGGCAUUUGUAAUUACUUGAAGUUGUAUUUUUGCAGGGGUUACCAGGCUUAAAGGGAGACAAGGGCAACAUGGGGGAAAGAGGAGAAAAGGUGAUUGUGACAUAGAUGUUGUGAAACAGGGAAUGAAACUUUCACUCUCUUUAUUGAUUAGAUCUGAUGUCAAUGGACAUUUACAAAGCAGUUUAGGCACAAAGCCUUUAUAUAGACCGAAUGUGGGCCAUGGAGUUGAAGAUCAGUGUGAAGAUCUUACAUUUAAUGGAUUCUCUUCUACAAUAGCAAUAGCAAAUAGCAAUAUUUAUAGUUGCAGGAA